rnacentral:rRNA from 1 species
UACGGAGGGAGCUAGCGUUAUUCGGAAUUACUGGGCGUAAAGGGCGCGUAGGCGGCGCUCCAAGUUAGGCGUGAAAGUCCUGGGCUCAACCUGGGAACUGCGCUUGAUACUGGAGUGCUUGAGGAUGGAAGAGGGUCGGUGGAAUUCCCAGUGUAGAGGUGAAAUUCGUAGAUAUUGGGAAGAACACCGGUGGCGAAGGCGGCGAGCUGGUCCAUUACUGACGCUGAGGCGCGACAGCGUGGGGAGCAAACAGG